AAAUGCCUUGUUAGGUAGGCUUAUAGGAAAACCUUUGUCUCUUAUUCCUUAGGUAUUAUUAAUGAGUCAAAAAAGUUAACUCUGUAUUAGGGGGAGGGAGCAAUACUCUAAAACAGCGCUUCUCAAACUCAUAUAUGUAUAUACAUUCCCCAGGGAGCUCAAUAAAUUGCAGAUUUUGGUUCAGGAGCUCUGGGGUGGGACCAGAGACGCUGCAUUGCCGAAGCCCCCAGGAGAUGCCCAUGCUGCUGAUUCGAGACCACUCUCGGAGAAGGCAGGCUCCAGACAACUCUUUUAAAAAGAAAUCUACGCAAAUACAGUAUAACUUGCUUUGUCAUCAUUUCAGGAAAUUGAAUGGCAUUGGGAUAACAAAACCCAAACUACUUGCUUUGCAAAUGGAAAGGGAGAGAAUGAGCCGAUUUAAAGCUUCAAGGACUCUUUUUAAGGACAACUUGAAUUACUGCCCCCACCCCUGGUGUCCAGCCAUCAGGAGUCACCUAUGUGGAUACACUCUCCAGCACGACCUCAACUGGAGACUCGCUCCAUACUCCUUCGCCCAGGAUUUUCUCCAAGCUGUGAAUUACAAGCAAGGGGAAGUGAAGAGGAAUUCAACGCACAAAAUGAAGCACCUAUUUUGCAGCUCUCUUUUGUAGGAUAGGUCCAAUUCCAAACAGCUCUCCCAAUCUGAAAUGGCAGCAACAAGAACCAAAAGUAGUUUGCCUCACGUCACAUAGAUGGCAGUUGUAUGUUGAGAAAACAAGUAAAAUAUUCAUGCCACAAGAGAGUGACUUUUGCGGACUGAAAGCAGCAUACACUGGGAAAUGCUUAUUUCAGCGAGAGUUUCUGCUUUGGACUCAAUGCCCUGAGAAAAACAACCAGAAGGAGGGUAUCUGCGUCAGUCCCCCAUGUUGCUGGAACCAGAGGUUGUAGGAAAACCUCUUGAUUUACCCUAAUUUAGAUCUGCAUUUAAAUAAGUAUUCUCCAUUGAGUGGGAUUACAGGUGAGUUUAAUUUUCUAUUAAUGCCUUACUUUUAUUGUUUGG